AUUGAACGCUGGCGGCAUGCCUAACACAUGCAAGUCGAACGAGUGGCGGACGGGUGAGUAAUUUAUCGGAACGUGCCUAAUGGCGGGGGAUAACUACUGGAAACAGUGGCUAAUACCGCUUACUAUUCGAUCGGCCCUUAUUGCAUUAGCUAGUAGGUGGGGUAAAGGCUCACCAAGGCCACGAUCCCUAGCUGGUCUGAGAGGAUGAUCAGCCACACUGGGACUGAGACACGGCCCAGACUCCUACGGGAGGCAGCAGUGGGGAAUAUUCCACAAUGGGCGCAAGCCUGAUGCAGCCACGCCGCGUGUAUGAAGAAGGCCUUAGGGUUGUAAAGUACUUUCAGUAGGGAGGCGUUACCGAAAGAAGAAGCAACGGCUAACUCCGUGCCAGCAGCCGCGGUAAUUC
rnacentral:rRNA from 1 species